rnacentral:rRNA from 1 species
UACGUAGGUGGCGAGCGUUAUCCGGAAUGAUUGGGUGUAAAGGGUGCGUAGGUGGCAGAUCAAGUCUGGAGUAAAAGGUAUGGGCUCAACCCGUACUGGCUCUGGAAACUGAUCAGCUAGAGAACAGAAGAGGACGGCGGAACUCCAUGUGUAGCGGUAAAAUGCGUAGAUAUAUGGAAGAACACCGGUGGCGAAGGCGGCCGUCUGGUCUGGAUUCUGACACUGAAGCACGAAAGCGUGGGGAGCAAAUAGG